ACAACUGUGAUGCCCUUAGUAAUGGGGAAUGAAACGGGCGGAGCCCAGCGUCGAACUGCCGGCCACUCGGUCGUGCGGAAUGUGACGUUUGGGAGCGUCACUUGCAGAGUGGAGCGACCAGUCCAAGUCCACCUUGACUGGGGCCACGGUCCGUAGAGGGUGAUAGGCCCGUAAGACGGUUGCUCUGCUCGCAUGGCGUCUCCCUAGAGUCGAGUUGCUUGGGAGUGCAGCUCAAAGUGCGUGGUAAACUCCACGUAAGGCUAAAUAUGACCCAGAGACCGAUAGCGAACAAGUACCGUGAGGGAAAGUUGAAAAGAACUUUGAAGAGAGAGUUCAAUAGUACGUGAAACUGUGUAGUGGUAAACGGAGGGGUUCCUCGAAGUCGUUCUGGAGGUUCAAGUUGACGCUUGCGGGGUUCGUCGGGUUCUUGAUGCGCAAGCACUCGGCCUGGCGUUCCUCGUUCGUGGCGAUUGCACUUCUCCAGGGCUUUGCGUGACGAACCGCUGGUGGUGCACCGUGGCCUCGGGUAGAGUUCUUGGCUUGCCUUGAAUCCCGGGUGCUUGGCUGCGCCGCCAACGCUAUGUUAAGCAGUCUCGUAUAGCGAGCAUCUCACUGGUGCGGGCUGCUUCUCUGUCGCGAGUAGGUCGGCGGCCCCUCCGACCCGUCUUGAAACACGGACCAAGGAGUCUAACAUGUGUGCGAGUCACUGAGCGAACUAAACUCAAAGGCGUAGUGAAAGCAAAGGGAGUUUACUCCUGAGGGGCGAUCCUUUUUAAGGCGCAGCCCCCUCGCUUCGCGUCGACCUUGCAUCGUGCGGAGCAGAAAGAGCACACACGUUGGGACCCGAAAGAUGGUGAACUAUGCCUGGCCAGGUUGAAGCCAGGGGAAACCCUGGUGGAGGACCGUAGCGAUUCUGACGUGCAAAUCGAUCGUCGGAGCUGGGUAUAGGGGCGAAAGACUAAUCGAACCAUCUAG
rnacentral:rRNA from 1 species